AGAAACGCCACAUAUGCAAAUUCCAAUUCCAACAAAAGCCUAUAUUAUACUAUCUAAAUCUGCAGAUACAUGAAAAUAUUAGUCUGUAACAUGGUCUUUCCUGAUAAGCAAUCGAAAAUUCCUCAGAUGAUUUUGAUUUGAUAUCUGAGAGAAGCAAUUGGCUCCAAAUGUUAUUAGCUUAUUGUGCUUCUCCAAGAAUAAGCUAAUAAUAUUAACAAGGAGAAGGAGAAGAGGA
rnacentral:misc_RNA from 1 species